UUCUUUGAAAUGUUAACACUUUGGGGCAGUGAAUAAAAGGUAGUUCGAUGUUGAAAACGAUAGUUGUGAAAUUUAUAAAAAGAGGGCGGGAAGAUCGACUUGUGUUGUAUUCUUUAGUCCAUCUAAUAGCAAUAUCGUUUCUGACGAUUCGACAGCGAAGCAAGACUUAUUCCGACUUCGCCGGAGCCGCAAAAUAGUUGUCAAAAUGGCGGGCGAAGGUGCUGCAAAUGUGAAUCCAAAUUGUGAGGUCGUUCGCGGACAAACGUUCGAAGUUGGCCCGCGAUAUACGAAUUUAUCGUACAUGGGCGAGGGUGCUUACGGGAUGGUCGUAUCUGCUUAUGAUAAUGUAACAAAGACAAAGGUAGCUAUUAAAAAAAUUUCACCUUUUGAACAUCAGACUUAUAGCCAGAGAACUUUAAGAGAAAUAAAAAUUUUGACUAGGUUUAAGCAUGAAAAUAUAAUAGAUAUAAGGGAUAUAUUAAGGGCACCUACUAUAGAACAAAUGAAAGAUGUAUAUAUUGUUCAAUGUUUAAUGGAAACUGAUCUCUAUAAACUUCUGAAAACACAGGCUAUUAGUAAUGAUCACAUAUGCUAUUUUCUUUACCAAAUAUUGAGAGGAUUAAAGUACAUUCAUUCCGCAAAUGUAUUGCACAGAGACUUGAAACCAAGCAACUUGCUAUUGAAUACCACGUGUGACCUUAAAAUCUGUGAUUUUGGUUUAGCUAGAGUUGCUGAUCCAGAGCAUAAUCAUGCUGGUUUUCUUACCGAAUAUGUAGCUACAAGGUGGUAUAGAGCUCCAGAAAUAAUGCUCAAUUCAAAGGGUUAUACUAAGUCUAUAGACAUUUGGUCAGUUGGUUGUAUUCUUGCAGAAAUGCUUUCAAGACGAGCAAUAUUUCCAGGCAAGCAUUACUUAGACCAACUGAACCAUAUAUUAGGAGUCCUUGGAUCACCAUCUCCUGAAGAUCUUGAGUGCAUUAUAAAUGAAAAAGCGCGAAAUUACCUUCAAUCUUUACCAUACAAACCAAAGGUUCCAUGGACAAGUCUUUUCCCAAAUGCCGAUCCGCGAGCUUUAGACCUUUUAGAUAAAAUGCUAACUUUUAAUCCUAACAAACGAAUUGUCGUGGAAGAUGCACUCGCGCAUCCUUACUUAGAGCAAUAUUACGAUCCAGCUGAUGAACCUGUCGCAGAAGAGCCAUUCAAGUUUGAUAUGGAGCUAGACAAUCUUCCAAAAGAAGUUUUGAAACAGUAUAUCUUUGAAGAAACUCUUCUAUUCCAGAAGAAUCAUCAAGAAAACGCUAUGUAGUCUACUGCUGCAGUUAGCGUGCAGGGUGACGAAAAAGGAGGCGAAGGUGCGGCGUCAAAGUAACAGAAGUGUACUUCUUUCACAGUUGUCUACGAUCGAAGCAAGAAAAAUAAAACGAAACCAAAAACAUUCUACGAGGACAUUAUAAUCGAAGAAAAUUAGUACCAGCGACGACCAUGGCGAGAAACGGGCGAAGCAGGAGGCGGUGAAUGAGGUAAAAAACAAAAACAAAAAACCGCAGUGUCCGUGCAUAUACUUGUACAUUCGCAUGUCUUUACCGGAAAACAAAAUACAGUGUCUCUUUUUUUGUUACAUUGAACGCAUAAUAUUAAUUUGUACAAUAACUUUUAUUUAUCCCGAAUUAUAUGUAGGUAACGCUAGUUGACGAUUUAUUGUUAAUCAUCGUAUCAUACACAUUGUCUGUGAUUUAAUUGCCGAGCGAGUGACGUGGUCGGUGUAAUGUGCGAGAUAUUCUGAGCCACGUAAUAACGGCGACCGAUAAGAUGAAUGUGCGCAGAGAGAAAGAGAGAGAGAGAAUUUGUGUGCUUGUCCGUAACUGAAGUAUAUAGAUUAGCUGCGUACCUCGCGGAAAUUCGUUUUUGCAUCAAUCGGACUUAGCUAGCAGAAGAAAAAGAUGGAGAGAGAAUGAGAUGAAGAGACAGCAAGAAGGAGAAAGAAUGAGAAGAGAGUGCGUGCGAAUGAGAGAGGCGUAAAACGUUUAAUUCGUAAUUAAUUGCACUCGAUGCAAUUUCCAGUUCUUCUAAGCCAUUUAAUUGCGCCUUGUUUUACGAGCUACAGGUAUUAUUACACUGAUACUGCCAUUCUUGUGCGAUAGAACGCAUGGUGUCUGUUUGAAUGCGGUGUCUGUUUGUAUUGUUUAUUUUAUAUAUAUAUAUAUAUAUGCAUACAUAUAUAUAUUUCUGAUCUUUUUACACGCUUUAAUAUACCACAUUUUUGUUUCUUUUUCCUUUUGCGUUAAGCAUCUCGAAGAAUUCCUUACUUGUUCAUAAAAUUAGUGUAUCGUGUCGUUCUUUCCUCCUACGUACAUGUAAAAGCAGCACUUCCUUUUCAUAAAGUCCACUUGUCUCUGGACACGAUUUCUGGGAUUCAAACACUCACCAUGUGAGUUAAACAUACGAUAUAAAAUAAUGUUCUUGUUUCGAUUCGUAUGCUUUCGCUCUAAAUGUACAUGCGUAUACUCGAACGAUUCUUUUUUGAUAUUCAAUAUAUAGCUCUAGCUUGGAGAAAUGUGGCCGUGACAAAUGGAAAGUGAUUUGAUCCGUGUGUGUAUACGUGAACAGUAUCAUCGAUGGUAAGAAACAAGAACCUUGUCCGACUGUGAACGCGACAGAAGUCGAAUGAUUAUUAAAGCACAAGUAACAUACGAACGAUUGAUUUAAUAUUGCUUGUUACCCAUAUACGAGAAGCUUUAACAGAAGUAAAAUUAUUAUUUUCGAUGAAACGAUGUUACUUUCAACAAAAUAAGGACAUGCUUGUUGAGACAGAAAAAUAGAAGAAACAAAUCAUCCUUAUUUUGGAUAAGACCAAUCACACGUGUACAAAUGAAACAUUAGGAUUUUGUUAAUAAUAAAAAGAAAGUAAGGACGACAUGAGAGAGAGAGUGAGAGAUUGAGUGAUUAGCAAGAAGAAGAAGGAAUCAGAAUGAAACGCUUUGCCUCCCUCGAAUAAUCAGAUCUCACGUUCUUCGAUGCAUCCAAUAAAAUGAUUCUUCAUUGAUAA